rnacentral:lncRNA from 1 species
CACUAAACUCGAGGCCUGGGUCACUUCUCCCCUGAAGAAGAAAGACUACUCUUUAAUUCCCAAGGCCAGCCACUGUGGUUUGAGCAUGUGCAACAGCCUGUGCUCGGGUUGAUGCCCCACAUUCCCAUGGUUAUCCAAAAGAGGCCCUCAGACUCACAGUGGCCAUUAUUAAUACUCUGAGGUUCAGCAGCGGUGGCAACUGAAAAUCUACAAGCAUCAGAAGAAAGAAGUGCUGCAGAGGGGAACCACAACCAUCACAAACCUGGAAGGCUGGGUGGGCCACCCCCUGGAUCCCAUCGGCUGCCUGUUUCUCACUUUGACUGAGGCCUGCCUCCUGAAUGAUGACAGGUAUCUAGAUACGAAUGAAAGCAGACCCCCUGUGUACCAACAUGUACCUGUGGCUGUAAGCUCCCCAAACAGCAGUGAGUCCUACUUGUCAUUGGCCCUGGAGGCUGCAUCGAUGGGCCUGGGUCACAGAGGGUAAUGCCUGAAGGCUCCUAUGCACAGGACAAGGUGUGCCGUAAUGAGGAGCAGCUCCUCAGCCACCUCCAAGAGCUGCAAUUGGAUGAUGACCCAGUGCAAACACUCCAAAAAUAGUGCAUCUUGCUGCUGGAAGGGGACCCUUUCAGGGAUCUGGGAGAAGUCAUCCACCGAGAGAGCGUUUCCAUGCAUACCUCUGCCAAGUAUUUGUUCUCAGCUCUGCUGUCUCGUGAUCCAGACCCUGCCUAUAAAUUAGGCUUACGUGUAUAAGGUUACCCGUUUUAGAAAAUUCAGGUUGUGCAGGCGACACAUCCCUCACUCACUGUAUGGUGUCCCCGGUGCCCAGCCAUUAUCCUCCCUGGUUCUUGCUUGGACACUUGGAAUCACAGCGGUGGGAACUGGCCUCCACCAUGCUGACUGCUGCCAAAGGAGACACUUUGAGGCUCUGAACAAUUCUGGAAGCAAUGCAGAAGCACAUUCGUUCUUCCCCCCUCAUCUUCAAACUGGCCCAAAAUGCGUUCAGGAUUGCUACUCCCACUAACAGUACUGACAGCACCCUGCUCAACGUGGCCCUGGAACCUGGGUUACAGGUGAUGCGAUGACCUUAUCAUCCCUUAACUGGAGACGCGGAGAGAUGGUAUGAUGGUUGGUGACCUGUGCUACAGAAGUGGGUAUCGCCCACCUCCCUCUACUCCCACGGGAAAGGAGUGUGUGGGCCUCAGGGAGCAUCUUGCAGAGCUGGCACACACUCUUCACCCCUACUGAGGCUGCUAGCAUUGUAGCUGCCACAGCCGUAUCCCACACCACUAUCCUGCGCCUCAGUCUUGACUAUCCACAGCGGGAGGAAUUGGCCAGCUGUGCUUGCACACUGGCCCUGCAGUGUGCUACGAAGCAUCCACAGAGCUGUGCCCUGUCAGCCCUUACACUCUGUGAGAAAGACCACAUUGCCUUUGAGGCAGCCUGCCAGAUUGCCACCGAGGCUGCUGCCGGUGGCAUGACCCAUUCACAGCUGUUCACCAUUGCCUGCUACGUGGAGCUCCAGGGCUACACGCUCCACGCCUUCAAGCUGGUCUCAUUGGCCAUGAGCCAUCUUCACCUGGCUCAUAACCAGGAUACCCACCCAGCCAUCAGUGAUGUGCUCUGGGUUUGUGCCCUCAGCCACUCUCUGGGCAAGAAUGAGCUGGCAGUUCUCAUCCCCCUGGUGGUGAAGAGUGCGCACAUUGCCAUGGUGCUUUCAGACAUCCUGUGUGCGAGGCUGCACGGUGACUGCACCUGGCCUGGCCGGCACCCCGGGCCACCACAGCUCUGGAAAGCUCAUCUCCACUGACAGAGCUCCAUGGCACCAGUUGCUGAUGCAAUGCUUACAUCAACACCACACACUACACCUAACACACAUUAGCCAUUGCCAGUAUGGACAGUUCAUUGAGUUUCUAAGCAAGGCUCGGGAGACCCUCCUGCUGCCUUAGGAUGGCUACCUGCAAUUUGCCCUGUUCAUCAACAACCACAAACGAUCUACAAAGGCAAGAAAAAGCUGAUGCUGCUGGUUCGAGAGCCCUUU